CCUACGGGCGGCUGCAGUGGGGAAUAUUGGACAAUGGGGGGAACUCUGAUCCAGCCAUGCCGCGUGUGUGAAGAAGGCCCUCGGGUUGUAAAGCACUUUCAGUGAGGAAGAACGCCUGGUGGUUAAUACCCAUCAGGAAAGACAUCACUCACAGAAGAAGCACCGGCUAACUCCGUGCCAGCAGCCGCGGUAAUACGGAGGGUGCGAGCGUUAAUCGGAAUUACUGGGCGUAAAGCGCGCGUAGGUGGCUUGAUAAGCCGGUUGUGAAAGCCCCGGGCUCAACCUGGGAACGGCAUCCGGAACUGUCAAGCUAGAGUGCAGGAGAGGAAGGUAGAAUUCCCGGUGUAGCGGUGAAAUGCGUAGAGAUCGGGAGGAAUACCAGUGGCGAAGGCGGCCUUCUGGACUGACACUGACACUGAGGUGCGAAAGCGUGGGUAGCAAACAGGAUUAGAUACCCCUGUAGUC
rnacentral:rRNA from 1 species